rnacentral:lncRNA from 1 species
GCGACCUCCUCCUAGAUUGAAUUCGUCUAAUUGAAAUGCCAGGUCAGUCUCGUAUAUCUCAAACAAUGUUGCGAUUUUUCGUUUGUUAUAUUUUCUACAACACGAGGAAGCAGAUACUGCGCUAAGAAGCGAUUUUCUGAUGAUAUCUGACCCGACUCAAGUUCCAUUAACAUGUGGUCUAUGAACGCAACAUAUAAUAAGACUUUCCAAUACUGCUU